AAUCAACGCUGGCGGCGUGCCUCAGACAUGCAAGUCGAACGCGAAAGGUUCCUUCGGGGACCGAGUAGAGUGGCGCACGGGUGAGUAACACGUAGGUAAUUUGCCUUUGGGUGGGGAAUAACUCAGGGAAACUUGAGCUAAUACCGCAUAAUGCAGCGGCUCGACAUCGAGACAGUUGUUAAAGCGGGGAGUUCGCAAGAACCUCGCGCCUAAAGAGAAGCCUGCGGCAGACUAGCUAGUUGGUAAGGUAAUGCUUACCAAGGCGACGAUCUGUAACCGGCCUGAGAGGGCGGUCGUCACACUGACACUGACA
rnacentral:rRNA from 1 species